ACGGGUGAGUAACACGUGGGAACGUACCCUUUGGUUCGGAAUAACGCUGGGAAACUAGCGCUAAUACCGGAUACGCCCUUUUGGGGAAAGGCUUGCUGCCGAAGGAUCGGCCCGCGUCUGAUUAGCUAGUUGGUGGGGUAAUGGCCUACCAAGGCGACGAUCAGUGGCUGGUCUGAGAGGAUGAUCAGCCACACUGGGACUGAGACACGGCCCAGACUCCUACGGGAGGCAGCAGUGGGGAAUAUUGGACAAUGGGCGCAAGCCUGAUCCAGCCAUGCCGCGUGAGUGAUGAAGGCCUUAGGGUUGUAAAGCUCUUUUGUCCGGGACGAUAAUGACGGUACCGGAAGAAUAAGCCCCGGCUAACUUCGUGCCAGCAGCCGCGGUAAUACGAAGGGGGCUAGCGUUGCUCGGAAUCACUGGGCGUAAAGGGCGCGUAGGCGGCCAUUCAAGUCGGGGGUGAAAGCCUGUGGCUCAACCACAGAAUUGCCUUCGAUACUGUUUGGCUUGAGUUUGGUAGAGGUUGGUGGAACUGCGAGUGUAGAGGUGAAAUUCGUAGA
rnacentral:rRNA from 1 species